rnacentral:lncRNA from 1 species
AAGACAAGUAUAGAGAGAAAUUGAUAUAUUAUUCGAAUUCAAACUCAUGUACAUAAUGAACUGAAAUCUCUUCUAUUUAUAGAAGAAAGGAAGCUGUUGUGUAAGCUGCUACUAUACCAGAUAUGGAUAAUCUUCUACUGAGAGCAAUGUUUAUCCAUAACGGAGUACUGAAAGGAUAAGCUUAUUAUACCCGAUAUGGAUAAUCUUCUACCGGGGGUAAUGUUUAUCCAUAACUAGGUACUGAAAGGAUAAGCUUAUUAUACCCGGUAUGGAUAAUCUUCUACCGGGGGUAAUGUUUAUCCAUAACUGGGUACUGAAAGGAUAAGCUUAUUAUACCCGGUAUGGAUAAUCUUCUACCGGGGGUAAUGUUUAUCCAUAACCGGGUAUCGAAGUGAUAAGCUUCUUCAGGAAGUUUAUUUCCAAUAGAGUACUUAAAUAGAUAAACAUAUUUACG